AAAUGUGGAUGCGACGGGAGCAUGAUCACUGAUGACUGAUGAGGCGCCAUGUGCAUUGCUCACAGAUGACUAGAUGAGCGAGGCUCUCUGUAUAUAUCCUAAUCCUAUAUAUAGUAUAUGCCAGUUCCCCGGCAGCCUAAAACCAAGGCCAAACGCGAAGCCACACCGCCAUGGCCGCAGCUCCGGUGAGAGGCAAGAACACGGCGAGGAGGACAGCAUGGCGGCUAGCCGCCGUCUCCUUCCUCCUGUUCGUUUUCGUUGCUGUGAUGUUGAUCUCUACGACGACAGUUCAGUCGCGGCAGGAGCUCACCUCCAGCGAAAGAGGUAUGAUGAGCUGUUCUGCUAAUUGAUCUCUUCUCCAUGCCGGUCGAUUCGUUCUCCUAGCCGACGCUUCUGAAUUGAGAUCUCUGCUGUUUCUUCACAGGAAUUUUGUUGUUUUCCGACGCUUCAAUUGAGCCGUGAAUUAACCGAGGUGUACAUCGUUCAUAUAUGCAGGCUCUGAAUUUCGGGCGUGGAGGAAGGAUGGAGUGAGGCCGGACAGGACGACCGAUAUGACGACGCCGCCGGCGCCCAAGGCCAACAGCAACGUCCCUGGAGGGCCCUUCGGCCGUUGACGGAUCCAGAUCGAGUCGCACUCGCCUAAUCGCUAUCUUUUUAGCAUCUUAUUCGCUUGAGUCUAUUUGUUAAAUCUAUCAUAAUUAUUUAAUCAAUAUGUCCAUGCUGUGUGUUAUUUUUCUUCUUCAGUCAUCUUGUGCUUCUUUUAACGAUGAAGAACUACGUUGUGAUAGAAAUAAAUUUUGCUUGGAAUUUUUUUUAGGGAAAACUUGCUUGGAAAAUUAAGAACAAUGCAUUAUGGAUUCUGUUUCAUAGCAUUUCGCAUGGUAUUUAUUCCUUGUUACAAAGCUUUAUAUAUGUUGCUGCAAAGUACAACUUGCAUGGAAAAUAUAUAUGGCUUUUUCUAUUCGUUUGGAUACAAAUUAAAUGCUGAUAUUGCUAGUCCAUCCUUUUGGGUUGGUUGGUCAAUUAUUUCUUUCGAUUCGACUAAUAAAUUAAUUGAUGGUCCUGUAGUUAUUUUCAUUCAUUUCGUUAUAAAUGGACUCAUGCAUGGGUUCUAUA
rnacentral:lncRNA from 1 species